UUCAGCCCAUCCGCCACCCCAACCCCCUCUUUCUGGCUUCAGCUACGGACCACCCAUCUUUGCCUCAACUUCCUUUUGCAGUCACCCCCACCCUAUCAGUAGACCCAAUUCUUUCUUUUUUUCAUUUUUUUGUUUCCAUUUUAGUUUCAUCAAAUACCACUAUUAAAGAAUAGAAUUUUCAAAUACAAAAGGCUUACAAAGGAAGGAAAGAAAUGGAAACAAAGGAAGAUUAAUUUAGAUCUAAUUUAAGAUUCAAGAUUUUCUUUUUAAGACUUCCAUUUUUUAUAACCGUCUUUUUUAUUUGUAUAAAAACAAGUUUAAAUGGAAGAAAAAUAGACUAAGAGGGUGGAGGUGAUGAUGGUUGUUGGUCGAGAGAGGUGGACGGAAGUUGGAGGAAGGUGAUAAAAAUAAGAAUUUUACUUUAAAGAAUUAUCUUUUAUUUAAUAUUUUGAUUAAUAAUUUUUAAAAAUAGUUAAUGAAGAUAAUUAUGACGUGUUAUUAAUUUAUGUGACAUGCAUUUGACAUGUCAUCUAUUUGAGGGAGAGUGGGCUACACAAAUAAUAUGAGGGGUUUAAAAAUCAUCUUUUAAUUGUGUUUAAGGGUUUAGUUGGUAAAGUGUUAAGUAAAAUGAUCCACAAUACAAAUGCAUACAGGUAUAGGGGUCCAUUAGAUCAUUUCACCUUCUACGGACAAUACACCUACUAAUAGCAAAGAUGUGUCAAUUGGCACAGAGGAAACAAAAAAAAAAGAAAUGGAUCCUAGAUUUAUUGUUUGGCAACACUUUGAUUUUAUUUUUUUUGAAAAUAGUGUAUUAGUUAAAGAAAAGUGUUUACAUUGUAAACAAAACUAUGGUGCUAAUACAACUAGAAAUGGAACAAGUGGACUGAGACAACAUUUGACUAACUGAUGUAAAGUGUAUAAGCCCCCGCCUGUUGCACCUAGUAUUCAAAAAUUGUUAAAUAUUCAAAGUAACAGUUCUUCGAUAGAGACUUGGAAAUUUGAGAAAGAGGUAGCUAGGAGAUCUUUAGUGUAGAUGAUAAUAUUGGAUGAACUACCUUUUAGUUUUGUUGAAAAAGAAGGCUUUAAGAAGUUUAUGAGUAAAGUCCAACCUUUGUUUCGGAUUCCUUCGCGUAGAACCAUAACAAGGGAUUCUUAUGAAGUUUAUGGUGAAUUGAGAAUGAAUUUGAAAAAGUCUUUUAGAGAAAUACAACCAAGAAUUUGUCUCACAACAGACACAUGGACUUCGGUGCAAAGAAUCAAUUAUAUGUGUUUGACUGCUCACUUUAUUGAUAGGGAUUGGGUGCUUCAUAAAAGAAUAUUGAUUUUUUGUCCUAUCACCAUUCAUAAAGGUGAGCAUAUGGUUGAGUGUAUUAGUAAUUGUUUGCUUGAUUGGAACUCGGACAAUGUCUUUAAUGUUACGGUUGAUAAUGCCUCUUCAAAUGAUGUGACAGUUUUAGAGUUGUCCAAAAAAUUAGAUAUGUGGGGAACUAAUAUGAUGGAUGGUAAGCAUCUCCAUGUGAGAUGUAUGGCUCACAUACUUAAUGUAAUUGUGUAAGAUAGUUUGAAAGAGAUUGGUCCUUCUAUCAAACGGGUGAGACAAAUGGUGAAAUAUGUUAGAUCAUCUUCUACAAGGACAAGAAACUUCUUGAAAUGUGUUGAAAUGCAAAAGAUAGAAUGUGAUAAAAUAUUGUCUUUAGAUGUGCCUACUAGGUGGAAUUCCACCUAUUUGAUGUUGGACACGGCAAGAAAGUUUGAGAAGGCUUUUGAGAGGUUUGAUCUUUAUGAUGGUAAUUUUAAUUAUUUUUGCUACUGAUGUUUGUGAAGAUGGAAGUAUUGCAGGUUUAAUUCAAAAUGAGGAUUAGGCUAAUGUGAGGAAUGUCACAAAGUUUCUAGAAAGAUUUUAUGAGCUCACGUAGAAUGUUUCAGGUUCACGGUAUGUUACUUGUAAUGUUCAUUUUGAGGAUAUAUGUGAGCUUGAUGCAUAUUUGAAAGUAUGUAUGACAAGUGAUGAUGUUGAUCUUGAUGCAUAUUUGAAAGUAUGUAUGACAAGUGAUGAUGUUGAUCUUGAUGCAUAUUUGAAAGUAUGUAUGACAAGUGAUGAUGUUGAUCUUGAUGCAUAUUUGAAAGUAUGUAUGACAAGUGAUGAUGUUGAUCUUGAUGCAUAUUUGAAAGUAUGUAUGACAAGUGAUGAUGUUGAUCUUGAUGCAUAUUUGAAAGUAUGUAUGACAAGUGAUGAUGUUAAUUUGAGUAAAUUGGCUUCGGGGAUGAAAGAAAAGUUCAAGAAAUAUUGGGGUACUCCUAAAAAGAUGAACAAAAUUCUUUUUUUUGCCUCUGCUUUGGAUCCUCGCAAUAAAUUUGUGUGUGUUAGUUUUGCUCUUGAAGAAUUACUUGGGGAAGAUAAGAGAAAGAUAGUGAAUAAUGUACUUGAAGAAAUUGUUUGUGAUCUAUGUAAGUAAGUAUGCAAAAGGUUCUAAAAAUCAAUCAUCUUCAUCUGACUCAUAUGAUUCAUCUACUUGUGGUCUUUCUCAAAAUGUGAAAACAAAUUCUUUGAGAACUAAGUUUUACAUGAAGAAACAAAAGGAAGAUUUUGGAAGUUUAGGUGUUAAUUAUGAGUUGGAUAGAUAUCUUCUUGAAGACCAAGAGCCUGAAUCUAAGGAUUUUGAUAUUUUAAUUUGGUGGAAAGUUAAUUCUCCUAGAUUUUCUAUACUUUCACCGUUGGCUCGAGAUGUAUUGGUUAUUCCUAUGUCGAGUGUGACAUUGAAAUAUGCAUUUAGCACCGGUGGUCAUAUUCUUGAUCCCUUUAGAAGUUCAUUGACUCUCAAAUGUGUGCAAUGCCUUAUUUGUGUCCAAGAUUGGCUUAGACAAGAAACUAAGCCUAUUUGUGUUGAAGAAAGUUUGGAGUUUCUUGAAAUAAUUGAACUUGGUAAGACUAUUUAUUUUUUAUUUGUUUUUGGAAAAAAUAAAAUACUUAUUGUGUUGUGUGACAUAUUUGAUUUUUUUAUUUAUAGAGAUGACAAAUAGUGGAAGAAACUCUUCCACUGUUGAUCUAUGAUUGACUUGCAAGUCUCAAGUAUUUAAUAGUGGUGAGUUCGAUACGUCAUCUAUUUAAUCAUGUCAUUUUUUUUAAUCUUAAAAGUAGUAUUCUAACAUUUGAUUUUAUCUUAAAAGGUUAAAGAGUCAAGACAAUGAAUAAAGGCGUAAAGUACAAAGUUUUGUUAGUGUUUUUGUUGGCACUUGAAACUUGAAAGUGAUCUCAUGGAAGAAAGUCAAGAAACUACAUUGUUGCUCAUUAUUGUUAUUUGUUAUUGUUGGCAUUUGAAAGUGAUCUCAUGGAAGAAGCUACAUUAUUUGUUGCUCAUUAUUGUUGUUUGUUAUUGUUGGCAGUUGAAACUUGAAAAUGGUCUCAUGGAAGAAACUACAUUAGUGAAUUAUUGUCACUUGUUAGAUUGUUAUUGUGUUGUUGUGUAAUGGCAUGAUCAAUUGAUCAUUGUAUUUGUGAAGUGUAGUGAAGUUUUAUUACUUGUUAAAUUGUUGCUUGUUAGUGCCUUUUUGGCUUUAUUAUUUUUACUUGUUAAA
rnacentral:lncRNA from 1 species